AGCAGAGUGGCGCAGCGGCAGCGUGCUGGGCUCAGAACCCAGAGGAGGAUGGAUGGAAACCAUCCUCUGCUA
rfam:Tetraodon nigroviridis, WGS project CAAE01000000 data, contig: CNS0BOB3, chromosome: undetermined